GUGUCAGCCGCCGCGGUAAUACAUAGGGGGCUAGCUUUGUCCGGAAUUACUGGGCGUAAAGGGUGCGUAGGUGGCAAUGUAUGUUGGAAGUGUAAUCCCUCGGGCUUAACUCAGGGGCUGCUUCCAAAACUGCAUUACUUGAGUGUCGGAGAGGAAAACGGAAUUCCUAGUGUAGCGGUGAAAUGCUCAGAUAUUAGGAGGAACACCAGAGGCGAAGGCGGUUUUCUGGACGACAACUGACGCUGAGGCACGAAAGCGUGGGGAGCGAUUGGGAUUAGAUACCCCAGUAGUCCACGCCGUAAAUGAUGGGUACUUGACGUUGGGAGUAUCAACUCUUCCAGUGUCGUAGCAAACGCGAUAAGUACCCCGCCUGGGGAGUACGGCCGCAAGGUUGAAACUCAAAGAAAUUGACGG
rnacentral:rRNA from 1 species